rnacentral:lncRNA from 1 species
CUGUUCCUUAGAACCAGAUGAAUUAUUACCUGAGACAGUUGUAUCCAGUGCUGUCUUCAGGGCGGAUUGGAUUGUGUGGAGCCAUAAUCUUGUUCUCAGAACCCCCUGACUGCCAGAUAGGACAAACAGAAGAUGAUGCUAUGACCUUCUGGAAAAUAGCUUCUGCUCAGAUUGAAGACCUCAGUGACAAAUGCGUUCGUUUAUGGACCAGGUACACAGUGGACCCUUUGGAUAACUGAAUGGAGAAACUACUUUGCUACUCUACUUUUACAGCCUUAAAGUAGGUUAAUAGUUUUACUUUAAGGCCAAAGUCGAUUUAAAUAAACAUGAGAACUGUGGCUGAAAACGCCUCUCG